GACAGAGGGGGCGAGCGUUGCUCGGAAUCACUGGGCGUAAAGGGCGCGCAGGCGGGACGGCAGGUCGGUCGUGAAAUCCUCGGGCUCAACCCGAGGGCGCCGGCCGGGACCGUCGUUCUUGAGGGAGGCAGAGGAGACUGGAAUUCCCGGUGUAGCGAUGAAAUGCGUAGAGAUCGGGAGGAACACCGGCGGCGACGGCGGGUCUCUGGGCCUUCCCUGACGCUGAGGCGCGAAAGCGUGGGGAGCAAAC
rnacentral:rRNA from 1 species